rnacentral:rRNA from 1 species
ACUGGUUGAUCCUGCCAGUAGUCAUAUGCUUGUCUCAAAAGAUUAAGCCAUGCAUGUUGUAAGUAUGGAACUAAUUCAGACUGUGAAACUUGGAAUGGUCUCAUUAAAUCAGUUAUAGUUUGUUUGAUGGUAUCUGCUACUUCGAUAACGCGUAGUAAUUCUAGAGCUAAUACCGUGCAACAAACCCCUGACUUCUGGAAGGGAUGCAUUAUUAGAUAAAAGGUCGACGCGGGCUCUGCCGUUGCUCGAUGAUUUCAUGAUAACUCCGACGGAUCGCACGGCCAUGGCGUGCGGCGACGCAUCAUUCAAAUUUCUGCCGCUAUCAACUUUCGAUGGUAGGAUAGAGGCCUUACCAUGGUGGUGACGAGUGACGGAGAAUUAGGGUUCGAUUCCGGGAGGGAGCCUGAGAAACGGCUACCACAUCCAAGGAAGGCGCAGGCGCGCAAAAUACCAAAUCCUGACACGGGGAGGUAGUGACAAUAAAUAACAAUACGGGCUCUUCGAGUCUGGUAAUUGGAAUGAGUACAAUGCUAAAUCCCUUAACGAGGAUCAUUGGAGGGCAAGUCUGGUGCCCCAAGCAGCCGCGGUAAUUCCAGCUCCAAUAGGCGUAUAUUUAAGUUGUUGCAGUAAAAAGCUCGUUUAAGUUGGAUCCUUGGUGUUGGGUCGAACCGGUCCGCCUCUGGCGGUGGUGCACCUGUCGGUCUUCGUUCCUUCCUGCCGGCGAUGCGCUCCUGGCCUUAACUGGCCGGGUCGUGCUCCGGCUGCCUGUUACUUUGAAGAAAUUAGAGUGCUCAAAGCAACCUAGCGCUCUGGAUUACAUUAGCAUGGAUAACUCAAUAGGAUUUCGGUCCUAAUUUGUUGGCCUUAACGGAUCGGCAGUAAUGAUUAACAGGGACAAGUCGGGGGCAUUCGUAUUCAUAGUCAGGGUAAAAUUCUUGGAUUUUAAUGAAAGGACGAACAACUGCGAAAGCAUUUGCCAAGGAUGUUUUCAUUAAUCAAGAACGAAAAGUUUUGGGCGGCUCGAAGACGACUCAGCCAUAAACGUCCUAGUCUCAACCAUAAACGAUGCCGACCAGGGAAUGGCGGAUGGUUGCUUUUGGAUUCCGCCGCACUUUAAUGAGAAAUCAAAGUCUUUGGGUUCCGGGGGAGUAUGGUCGCAAGGCUGAAACUUUAAAGAAUUGACCGGAAGGCACCACCAGGAGUGGAGCCUGCGGCUUAAUUGAUCAACACGGGGAAACUUACCAGGUCCCAGACAUAGUAAGGAAUUGACAGACUGAGAAGCUCUUUCUUGAUUCUAUGGUGUGGUUGCAUGGGCCGUUCUUAGUUGGUGGAGCGAUUUGUCUGGUUUAAUUCCGUAACGAACGAGACCUCAAGCCUGCUAACUAGCUAUGCGGAGGUGACCCUCCGUGGGUGGGGCCAGCUUCCUUAGAGGGACUAUGGCCUUUUAGGCCAAGGAAGUUUGAAGCAAUAACAGGUCUGUGAUGCCUUAGAUGUUCCUUGGCCGCACGCGCGCUACCCACACUAGAUCGUUUCAACGAGUCCUAUAGCCUUGGCCGACAGGAGCCCGGGUAUCUUUGAAUUUCAUGCGUAUGGGGAUAGAUCAUUGCAAUUGUUGUCUUCUAACGAGGAAAUUCUAGUAAGCGCGAGUCAUCAGCUCGCGUUGACUACGUCCUAGCCUUUGUAACAAACUUUUACCGCCCGUCGCUCCUACCCGAUGAAUUGUUCCGGGUGAAGUGUUCGGAUCGCGGCGACGUGGGCGGUUCGCCGCCGGCGACGUGCGAGAAGUCCACUGAACCUUACAUUUAGAGGGAAGGAGAAGUCGUAACAAGGUUUGCCGUAGGUGAAAUUCCUGCGG